UAACUACAUCAGCAUUUUGCUAUUCUACUACACAUGUAUUUAUUUCAGCUGACAACAGUCUCCCUGUCCAGAUUUGUAGGGAUGCAAUAUAUUAGAAAACUCUUUCAGAGUUCAAAUUUGGGCUUCAAUUCAGCAACUAACACCAACCUAGCACAUCCCUUAAACAUCCCUAGCACAUUCACUGUUCUGAGAAGUACUUGCUAUAACUAGAAACCCUGAAGCAACAGAAUAACCAUGUCUGGAUAAUUCCAAGCUUACACACAGCUCCCAGUGGAGUAGUGCAGAUACGGCAGCAAGAGAAAUGUUUGCAUGUUCUGCCAGAUUACACCUACACCAUGCCAACAGUGGACGGACCCCCCAGCACCACUUCUAUCUGCAUGGCAUCUGUAAGGCCAAUCGCUGGACACAACAUUUCUAUUUACAUCAACGUAAAUACCUCCCUUCAAAAACAAAUCUAGUAUUUACUACCCUUACUUCACCUAGAACCUCUUCUCAUGUUGAGAAAAGGGAUCUGCUGGUUCAUCAAGUCCAUCAUGGUGCUCUAUGCGGGUUUAUAACUGCUUUCCUAAUGCAGUCCUGUUCUACCUUUAAACAAACUAAUAAACAUUUUGGCACUCUAGAAUAUAAACUUGUAAAUUUUCCUCAAGAGGACUGGAAACAGAGUUGCACGGGUGGUUUAAGAGAAUUGAAGCUGAUUACAUUGAACAGUUUUUCACACAAAUGGGAAUUUACCUAGAUCUAACUAACACCAUCAUUUGCUCAUUUUUCAAGAUGAUUCAUCUAAUUCACCCCAAACUUGCCAACAGAAAGCAGCUGAACUAAAAAACCAACCAGCCCUCAAUCUUAUGGGAAAUGUACUUAGUUUCUGAAAACGUUUCCUAAAACACCUCCUAUUUCCUUCCUCAAUAUUGGUAAAAACUGAUUGUAAAAAAGUUUUCUGGAUGCAUCAGCUUGUCAAUUAUAACAACUUCUAAAACUCUGAAGGGCUAUCUUCAUCUCUUUUAGGAUAUUUGCUUAGAAAUUAAUUACUGAGAUGAAAACUUUUUAGGUGCAUUCAUAAGGAUAUGAAUAAUAUUGUUUAAAAGGGUUUAUUUUAACCUAAAGGGAGCCUAUUAACAGAAGGGAAGUAAACUCUUUACGAAGGUAGAUAACAGCAGGACAAGGGAAAAUGAUUUUAAGUUGAAGGAGGGAAGAUUUAGGUUGGAUGUCAGGGGGAAGUUCUUUACUGUGAGAGUGGUGAGGUGCUGGAACAGCUGCCCAGAGAGGCUGUGGAUGCCCCAUCCUUGGAGGUGUUCAAGGCCAGGUUGGAUGGGGCCCUGGGCAGCCUGGUCUAGUAUUAAAUGUGGAGAUUGGUGGCCCUGCCUGUGGGGGGAUGGUUGGAGCUUCGUGAUCCUUGAGGUCCCUUCCAACUCAGGCCAUUCUAUGAUUCCAUGAUUUUUUGUCACCUAUAGGAUCCUUUACUUCAAAGGGGACAAAAGGAAGAAGAAAUGAGAGCAACCGAACAUGGCCUUCAUGUGGAUCAGCUCCUAGUAACAGAAGCAAUGUGGGAUUGCUGAACUGUCAGUGGCCUAAGCAACAACACUAGCUCAUAGAAAAACUCUUGAGUCGUAUAGUGGAAAAUAAAUACAAAAACUGCUAAGAUGCUGUCAAUGAGCAGGAGCAGAGCUUUUGUUUAGACAGAGAAGGGAACUGCAGAGAAAACCAGCUUUUUUAACCUGAAUAUGCAGCGCUUCUUGCACAUGGAGAGGGGAAGCAGAGACUGGGAACAAGUCUGAAGUGGAGCCACACAAUGCCUGGUGUCAAAGCAAGAAGUGGGGUGGAUCUCCGCAAAAAGCGAGACCUGAGUUGAUGACAGAGCCUCUGACAAGAAAGGUAGCAAAGAAAUCACAGAAAUAUUCAGAGAAACUUCUAGCUUGCACAAAUUCACAGGAAAGAUCAACUGUCCAUUGGCAAAAGUAUAUAUAAUUAUGGCACUAAAAUGAAGUUGUUUUAAUCUUCACAAUAAUUAUCAACAUGUACAGCAGCUACUAUAAGAAAAAUAAUUGCUAACAUAAGAAAG
rnacentral:lncRNA from 1 species